rnacentral:rRNA from 1 species
UUGGGAAUCUUGCACAAUGGGGGAAACCCUGAUGCAGCGACGCCGCGUGGACGAUGAAGGCCUUAGGGUUGUAAAGUCCUUUUUUGGGGAAAGACUUAGGACGGUACCCCAAGAAUAAGCUCCGGCUAACUACGUGCCAGCAGCCGCGGUAAGACGUAGGGAGCAAGCGUUGUCCGGAUUUACUGGGCGUAAAGAGCGCGUAGGCGGCUCGUUAAGUGUGAAGUGAAAUCUCCAGUGCUCAACACGGAAACUGCUUUACAUACUGGCGAGCUUGAGGAAAGCAGAGAUAACUGGAAUUCCUGGUGUAGCGGUGAAAUGCGUUGAUAUCAGGAGGAACACCCAUGGCGAAGGCAGGUUAUUGGGCUUUAUCUGACGCUGAGGCGCGAAAGCGUGGGUAGCAAACAGGAUUAGAUACCCCGGUAGUCC